rnacentral:rRNA from 1 species
UUCCUACGGGUGGCAGCAGUGGGGAAUAUUGCGCAAUGGGGGCAACCCUGACGCAGCAACGCCGCGUGAAUGAAGAAGGUCUUCGGAUCGUAAAGUUCUGUCGAAGGGGAAGAAAUAAAUGACGGUACCCUUAGAGGAAGCCCCGGCUAACUACGUGCCAGCAGCCGCGGUAAUACGUAGGGGGCAAGCGUUGUCCGGAUUUACUGGGCGUAAAGGGCGUGUAGGCGGUUUUUUAAGUCAGAUGUGAAAGUUCGGGGCUCAACCCCGGAAUUGCAUUUGAAACUGGAGAACUUGAGUACUGGAGAGGUAAGUGGAAUUCCUAGUGUAGCGGUGAAAUGCGUAGAUAUUAGGAGGAACACCAGUGGCGAAGGCGACUUACUGGACAGAUACUGACGCUGAGGCGCGAAAGCGUGGGGAGCGAACAGGAUUAGAUACCCUAGUAGUC